AACGAACGCUGGCGGCAUGCCUAAUACAUGCAAGUCGAACGAGACCUUCGGGUCUAGUGGCGCACGGGUGCGUAACGCGUGGGAAUCUGCCCUUGGGUUCGGAAUAACUUCGGGAAACUGAAGCUAAUACCGGAUGAUGACGAAAGUUCAAAGAUUUAUCGCCCAGGGAUGAGCCCGCGUAGGAUUAGCUAGUUGGUGGGGUAAAGGCUCACCAAGGCAACGAUCCUUAGCUGGUCUGAGAGGAUGAUCAGCCACACUGGGACUGAGACACGGCCCAGACUCCUACGGGAGGCAGCAGUAGGGAAUAUUGGACAAUGGGCGAAAGCCUGAUCCAGCAAUGCCGCGUGAGUGAUGAAGGCCUUAGGGUUGUAAAGCUCUUUUACCCGAGAUGAUAAUGACAGUAUCGGGAGAAUAAGCUCCGGCUAACUCCGUG
rnacentral:rRNA from 1 species